CCACCGAGAGCCUGGGAUUCACCAGGAUCCCAUCUCUUGGGACCUGGUGGCUGGGCCUCAUCUGCGUGGGGCCCCCGGGCCCCCUUUGGCCUCCAGAAACUCCCUUGGCUUGCAGGGGUGCCCUUGGCCGCUCCAGGCAGUGCUGCUGACUCAGCCAGGGGACAGGACAACUCCGGGCAGCACAGAAGGAAGCCUGGCUUCCGUGGCCACCAGCUCCGCUGUUCCCUGCAAGCCUGGCCGUCCCCCAAAUCCCAGCAGCCGACGCUUUGGGCAUCCACUUCCAAAAAGCCAGCUGACGUCCCCCAGACGCCCCAGGCUCCGUGGAGCGGCCACUAGCCCUGGACCAAUGAAGCAAAGCUGAGGACAAACCGGCCUGGGAGCGUACCAGUGGGCCAGUUGGCCCAAACAGAGUCAUCUAAACAUUGCUUCUUGUGGACACGACAUCUGGGAAGAACUUUUUGCCAGAGAACGAGCGGAUUUGAGUUUGAUGCUCCCGCCUAAGGGUUUUCCUAUUUUUAUAAGUACUGUUUCUUGAGUAUUUCAUAAAAUCCUAUCGCUUUGGUUCAAAAAAAUAAAAGCUCCUGGGGGGCCACAUGGAUGACGCGACAGCAGAGGGUGAGAUGCUUUGCCGACUAGAACACCCCACCACGUCCACACGGGGCCGGGCCACCCGCCGAUGGGGACCUCACCUGGGCUCGAGCAACACCUGCAUGAAGCAUCAGUGCCUGACCAUGGGGGACACCCCCGAAGGCAUUUGGGGGAGACCCCAGGACAAAUGCAGAGGGCCGCCGACGCUCUCACAGGUACCUGGGGGCAGGCCACCUGCAAGGUAUGACAGAGGUGCCCUGGGCCUCCCCUCCCCCUUCGGGGACCCUGGACGCGGCUGUGCAGGCUUCAGAAUAACCAGAACUGAAGUGGAGCCCUGAUGCCUCCUUCAGAGCAGGCCCUGCAAGGACUGGGGCUGCGGGCCUGGAAGGGCCAGGACUGGCCAAGAGCCACCUGUCGGGCACAAAAUGCCUUUGAGGCCCAGAAGGAGGAAAGGUUGGCGCUGCCUCGGGAAGAGGCCUCCCAGACGCAGAGUGCUUGUCUGGUGCCGGAGCGGCCGGUCUGAGCAGCCUGACUCUGCUUUCACGUUGUUGAGGCCCCUGGACCCCAGG
rnacentral:lncRNA from 1 species